GACAGAGGGGGCAAGCGUUGCUCGGAAUUACUGGGCGUAAAGGGCGCGUAGGCGGGAUGGCAAGUCGGUCGUGAAAUCCCUCGGCUCAACCGAGGAACGUCGAUCGAUACUGCUGUUCUUGAGGAUUGCAGAGGAGACUGGAAUUCCCGGUGUAGCGGUGAAAUGUGUAGAGAUCGGGAGGAACACCGGUGGCGAAGGCGGGUCACUGGUCCGGUACUGACGCUGAGGUGCGAAAGCGUGGGGAGCGAACAGG
rnacentral:rRNA from 1 species